rnacentral:lncRNA from 1 species
AUGGGCGCGCCCGUCGCGCUGUCCGCAGCCCGCGGGCCCGCGCAGCGCAGCGCGGAGCCGGCGCCUCAGGAAAUGAAGGACUGUGUGUGCCCUCAAGAUGGCGGGGCUCCUGACUUGGAGAAGAGGAAGAAGUCUAUGCUGCACGCAUUGGUUUAUACAACAAGAAGUAUUUGGUUGCAGUACUCCUACAGAACAGCACUCCAUGCCCUGUGACAGUGUGCUUGUGUGAGCUUUCCAGUGACAUUCAUGGUCAGCCAUAGUAAACAGCCUAGAAAAUGAGAUUAUGAAAGAGUGAAUAAAAUCUACUUUAGGGUUCA